rnacentral:rRNA from 1 species
GACGAACGCUGGCGGCGUGCUUAACACAUGCAAGUCGAACGGUAAGGCCCUUCGGGGUACACGAGUGGCGAACGGGUGAGUAACACGUGGGUGGUCUGCCCUGCACUUCGGGAUAAGCCUGGGAAACUGGGUCUAAUACCGGAUAGGACUCCUGGCUUCAUGGUUGGGGGUGGAAAGCUUUUGCGGUGUGGGAUGGGCCCGCGGCCUAUCAGCUUGUUGGUGAGGUAAUGGCCUACCAAGGCGACGACGGGUAGCCGGCCUGGGAGGGUAACCGGUCACACUGGGACUGAGAUACGGCCCAGACUCCUACGGGAGGCAGCAGUGGGGAAUAUUGCACAAUGGGCGCAAGCCUGAUGCAGCGACGCCGCGUGAGGGAUGACGGCCUUCGGGUUGUAAACCUCUUUCAGCUAUGACGAAGCGCAAGUGACGGUAGUAGCAGAAGAAGGACCGGCCAACUACGUGCCAGCAGCCGCAGUAA